AAUCAGAAUUGUACACAUACCCGCAUCCAAGUGUGUACAUGUAUAUAUAUACAGUACACCUGAAACUACCAACAUUUUGAGGUUGGACGUAUUGAGGAAUAUCUAUUAUAAUCUAUCUGAGAUUAUCAAAGUUUAACAUUAAGAUGCAGUGUUCUACUUGGAAAUUUGUAAUUGUUCUUGUGCUUGUUUUGCUGACGUUUUCCUCCGCUGAAGCCGGCCUCUUGUGCCAUACAUUUCUUGGAGGAGCAACUUUUUUCGUAGCCGCCAUCACACCUCCUGGCUGGAACGUGGUCGCUGGAACGGCGGGGCAGACUCUGGCUUCGAAAAUAUGUGAAUAAAAAAUCAAACUGAAAUUGUGCAGAAACUUUUCGAACCAACUUCACAUUUUCCCAUGUAAAAAAAACACUUUGUUAUAGAAUUUGUCUCUUUUGGUUGAAAUGGUAAUAGAAUAUAGAAAUAGUGUUCCAGUAACUCUUUGAGGUAAUGUGAUGAACCUGACACUGUUUAUGAUGAAUGGAAUAGCUAGAGGAGUACUCAAUCGGAUCAGGCGCUCGUCCUUUUCCGUAACCGUCAUUUGUGGUUACGGAAAUAGCCGAGUAGUUACGAUUGGAGGAGUAUUUAUCCCGCUUGGAAUACUGGGUUGAUUGUUGAUAGCGCCCUCGGGCGAUUGCAUAUACGUUAGACUGGUCCGCUGUCAUUGAUUACGAGUGCGAAUCAAAUUUCCCAGCGGCAGCGUUUGGAAUCAAGGGCAGGCUAUCCAAUCUAGCAUAUACGUUAGUGUUUUUUUUAAAUCUCGGUUGAGAUUCGGCUCGGCUUAAUAUUUUGACUGACGCCUUCACCGAAUCUCAGAGCAGUUCUUCAUAAUUUGUCUGGAAAUUUGCUUUCAGAUUCGGCCACUUCCAGCAAUUAAAAUGCACUUAGGUGACACUGCUGUUCGCUUCAAAUAAGUGAUUUGAUAUAAAAAUCCCAAAAUGAAAAACAUUUUCCGUUCAAAUGAAGAUUUCCAUGGCACAAUAUUUUAUCUCCUGGAAUUGAAGAGUUCCUAUAGUCUGCUUUAUCUAGUUACUGAUACAUCGUAUCUUUACAUACCUACUUCCAUUUCGCUAACUCAAAAAAACAAACUAUAGGAACUUUUCAAUUUUGGGAGAUAAAAUAUUGCGCCAUAGAAGUCUUCAUUUGAACGGAAAAAUUAGUGAUGGUUUAUUUUAUGGAAUUUACAUAUUUAGACGGUAAGUAAUACAGCAUUAACAGUGAUAGAAAGUUAGUUUAACAGUCAAAUCACUUAAUUGAAGCGAACAGCAGUGUCACCUAGGUGCACAUUAAUUGCUAGAACUGGCUGAAGCUGAAAGUAAAUUUCCAGACAUGAAUUAUGAAGGACUGCUCCGAAAUUCGGUGAAGGCGUCAGUCCAAAUAUUCAGCCAAGCCGAAUCUCAGCCGAGAUUAGUGUUUUUUCAGUUAAUGUGCAUGCUUGGACGCUAUUAGUGUGAUAUUCUGGAAGUUAUGUAGAACAGUCGUCUCGAAUUUUAUUUUACAGUUAAAUCCCUGAUUGAUGAAAACUUUACGCAAGUAAUAAAAGUGUGUUAAAACAGUUA